rnacentral:rRNA from 1 species
CUCCGGCCCAAAGCACCACCUGCUGGUUUCGCGAAAAUUCAUGUUGAUGCGGCAGUUCGGAAAGGAAGGGGGGGAUCUGCAGCGGUUGUUUGUAGAGACAGCUUAGGCAAUUUUCUGGGAAGUUCGGCUUUGGUUGUACAGGGGGUUGGCGAUCCCUCCAUUCUGGAGACCAUAGCGUGCAGAGAAGCUUUGGCCUUGGCACAAGACCUCCAACUACAAAAUAUGAUCGUAGCAUCAGAUGCCAAGCAAGUCGUUCAGGAGAUAAACAACAGAUCCAGAGGUGUGAACGGAGCUAUUAUUAGCGAGAUUCACUCAUAUUCCAGUUUGUUUCAAUGUAUCUUUUCUUUCGGAAGUCGUAGGGCAAACAUAGAAGCUCAUAAGUUAGCCAAGCACUUGUUGUCUUUAGGUCCGGGGCGCCACGUUUGGUUUGGCCAACCCCAUGAUGUUACUUGUAUCCCACAUUUUGUGGUAUUCGAUUAA